rnacentral:lncRNA from 1 species
AAAAACACCAAACCUGUGGGAAACGGUGGGAUCCUAAGAAAAUAACUGCAGGAAAAUAAAACUGUGUAAAUCUGGGGAAAAAUCACUGUAAAUGCCAGGAAAAAUCACUGUAAUUCCCAGGGAAAAAAAAAUCCAGAAUAUUCACUGUAAUUCCCAAAAAACUGCCAGAAAAUCAAUGUAAAUCUGGGGAAAAAUAACUGUAAAUCAUCGGAAUAAUAACUGCAAAUCCCAGGAUAAAACUCCAGAAAAAUCACUUUAAUUCCCAGAAAAAUCACUGUAAAUCCCAGAAAAAAACCUCCGGAAAAAUAAUUUUAAUUUCUGGGGAAAAAAAAACAAAACAAAAAGACCCUCCAAACCCCUCAAAAAUUAACAACAACAACAAAACCAACAACAAAAACAACCAGGAAAAUUCAUUUUAUUUCCAGGAAAAAACCUCCAGAAAAAUCACUUUAAAUCCCUGGAAAAAGCUCCAGGAAAAACACUCUAAUUCCCAGAAAAAAAAAAAAAAACCAAAAAUAACCCCAAAAAACCCUGGAAAAUUCAUUUUAAUCCCAGGAAAAAAACUCCAGAAAAAAAAAUCACUUUAAUUCUCGGAAGAAAAAAAAAUAGGGAAAAUCGGAAAAAAUCGCUUUAAUUCCCAAAAUUCUCAGGAAAAUUUCCUUUAAUUCAUGAAGCCCCAUGCUCGCUUUUGCUGCUUCCCAAAAAUAAUCCGGGAAAGAUUUUCCUUCCUAAAACCUGGAAAAGUGGGAAAAGCAGGACAGGAGGGAAAGUGGGAAAAGAGGAGCAGGAAAAGGAGGAAAAGGAGGAAAAGGAGGAAAAAGAGGAAAAGCUGGAAAGGGAAGAGAAGGAAAAAGAGGAAAAGCUGGAAAGGGAAGAGAAGGAAAAAGAGGAAGAGGAAAAGUGGGAAAAGGAGGAAAAAGAGGAAAAGGAGGAAAGGGAAGAGAAGGAGGAGGAGGAGGAGGAGGAAAAGGAGGAAAAGAGGAAAAGGAGGAAAAAGAGAAGGAAAAGCAGAAGAAGCAGGAAAAGCAGGAAAAGGAGGGAAAAGAGGAAAAGCUGGAAAGGGAAGAGAAGGAAAAAGAGGAGCAGGAAAAGGAGGAGGAGGAAAAGAAGGAAAAGGAGGAAAAAGAGGAAAAGGAGGAAAAAGAGGAAAAGCUGGAAAGGGAAGAGAAGGGAAAAGAGGAGCAGGAAAAGGAGGAGGAGAAGGAAAAGGAGGAAAAAGAGGAGAAGGAAAAGCAGAAGAAGCACGAAAAGGAGGAGCAGGAAAAGUGGGAGCAGGAAAAGCAGGAAAAGAGGAGGAAAAGGAGGAAAAAGAGGAAAAAGAGGAGAAGGAAAAAGAGGAAAGGAGGAAAAAGAGGAGAAGCAAAAGGAGGAAAAAGAGGAGCAGGGAAAGCAGGAAAAGGAGGAGGAGGAAAAGGAGCAAAAAGAGAAGGAAAAGCAGAAGAACCACGAAAAGGGAGGAGCAGGAAGAGGAAGAGGAGGAGGAAAACGAGGAAAAAGAGGAGCAGGAGAAGCGGGAGGAGGCAGAGCAGGAAAAGCGGGAAGAGCAGGAAGGGGAAAGGCAGGAAAGGAGGAGGAGGAGGAGGAGGAAGGGGAGGAGGGAAGGCGAUGAUUCCCAAAUCCCGGCAUCCCUCGCUCCGCUCCGCUGGCAGCGGCUCCGGGCCGGGCCCGGCGCUCCGGGCGCGUUCGGGGAUCGCGGGCCCAGCGCCGGUACCGGGAGAGCCCCGGCGGAUCCCGGCGGGAUCGGCGCCCCCCGGCCCGCGGCCCAUGCGGACACCGAGCGGCGGCCGCGGCCUGCCCAGGAUCUCCCCCGGAUCCCCCCGGCCCCGCGGGGAUGGAGGAGCUGGGCCGGGCCUUCGACUUCGAGGACAGCGAGGAGGAGGAGGAGGAGGAGGAGGAAGGGGAGGACGAGGACUCGGAUUCGGGAGCCGAUCCCGGAGUUGAUCCCGGAGCCGAUCCCGGUGCUGACGUCGCUCUCCAGGCGCCCCCGCGCCGGCGGCGCCCGCCCAGCUCUGAAGGGCUGGAGCCGGAGACCCAGGAAGGGAUCCCGGCACAGGUGAGCAAUGGCGAAGCCGGAGGAGAUUCCCAGAUCCGGACCCGCACCUGGAAGAGGGAGAGCAUCUGCAGAGGUGGGGAAAGGCUGGGAUUAAACCCUUGGGAUUAACCCUUGGGAUUAAACCCUGGGAUUAAACUCCUGGGAUAACCCCCGGGAUAACCCUGGGAUGAAACCCCCUGG